ACUGCCAAGUCUGAAAUAACAUAGAGAUAAUAUUGCUUGAGGCAAAGUACACGGUAAUAAAAAUUGAGACGUCAAGCCGAAAAACAACUGUCACUCUUGUAGAAAUAAUUUAUUACCGUAAUGUUUUGAGUAUUUUUGAGAUGCUAGAUUAUCAUUUGCGAUUAAGCGAGGUAAUUAUGAGAUUAACGCAUUCCAAAUGAGAUUUUUAGAAGAUAAAAAUCGUAGUUUGUUAAUCCAUUUAUUAUGAAUAUUAUCAAUGACGUUCUCAUCUAAUCAUAUUCACUAUGAUUUUUGGGACAAAAUCCACAUUCGAAAACCUAGAUCAAAAUGCUUUUUUUUUUUAUUGUAGCUGAUUAGCGUAAAAGUGCUAAAUGUACCUCUUAUGUUCAACGGCCAUCGGAGAUCAUAAAAACCACAACAUAAAAAGUCGUUUUGAGACAUGAUGUCGAAGAAUUAGUGGCUGAUGAACAUCAUUCAGCCUAUAAAAACUUCAAGACAGAAACGAUACGACGGCGAUAUUAACCGAAGCAAGCUGUCUACUGAUGACAAUGUGUCAAAGUUCACGGCGUUCACACGUGAAGUUGAAACUGUUUAUUUACGAGGGGACAUCAAACGACGCCGCUCUUUUCCCGGUAUAAUAUGGCAAAGGCAAGCGCUAAAAAAUGUUUCAUUAAUUAAAAAGUAUUAAAUAAA